CAUGUUUGCCAUAGAAUUGACCAAUCCACUCACACCCAUCACAUAGUUAUCCAUUUGGUGCCAUACAUGUCACAGAAAAUCAAAGACAUCUGAGAGUCAAACUCAGCCAAAACAGCUAAAAUUAAAAGACAUGUUUGCUAAGAAUUGACCGAUCCACUCCCACCCAUCACAUAGUUAUCCAUUUGGUGCCAUACAUGUCACAGAAAAUCAAAGACAUCUGAGAGUCAAACUCA
rnacentral:misc_RNA from 1 species